GAUGAACGCUGGCGGCGUGCCUAACACAUGCAAGUCGAACGAACAGACGAGGAGCUUGCUCCCCUGACGGUAGCGGCGGACGGGUGAGUGACACGUGGAUAACCUUCCUAUAAGACUGGGAUAACUUCGGGAAACCGGAGCCAAUACCGGAUAAUAUAUUGAACCGCAUGGAUCAAUAGUUAAAGGCGGUUUUCCUGCUUCUUUUAGAUGGUGCCGCGUCGCAUUAGCUAGUUGGUAAGGUAACGGCUCACCAAGGCGACGAUGCGUAGCCGGUCUGAGAGGGUGAUCGGCCACACUGGAACUGAGACACGGUCCAGACUCCUACGGGAGGCAGCAGUGGGGAAUCUUCCACAAUGGGCGAAAGCCUGACGCAGCCACGCCGCGUGAGUGAUGAAGGUCUUCGGGUCGUAAAGCUCUGUUAUUAGGGAAGAACAAAUGUAUAAGUAACUAUGCACGUCUUGACGGUACCCAAACAGAAAGCCACGGCUAACUACGUG
rnacentral:rRNA from 1 species